CAACUUCCUACUGCAGGAGGGGAACAGACCUGGUAGGGAAGGAACUACACAGUGGGGAGGAAAGAUGAACUUGAAUUUGACUUCUUAGUGACUUUUCUCAGGGAAAGUGAGAGGGUAUCACCUAAAGAUGCUGACUUUUCUGCUACUUCUCCUGGAACUAGGCUCUGUGUUCGGUGCUCUCCUCUCUCAAAAGCCAAGCAGGGCCAUCUGUCAACGUGGGACCACCAUGAAGAUUCAGUGUGAGGUCGAUACCGAACUCACCUUAAUGUUCUGGUACAGUCAGCUCCCAGGACAGAGCUUGACACUGAUUGCCACGGCGAAUCAGGGCUCUGAGGCCACUUAUGAAAGUGGAUUUACUAAGGACAAAUUUCCCAUCAGCCGUCCAACCCUAAGGUUCUCAACUCUGACUGUGAACAACACAAGCCCGGAAGACAGCAGCUUUUACUUCUGCAGCGCUGGAGACACAGUGCUGGGCACAGAUCAAAGAUCUGAGCAAAAACUGGAGCUCCCUCCUACCCAGCUCCCACCCAGAUGAGCCUGAAGACCCCAU